rnacentral:sRNA from 1 species
GUCCGAUAGGUAAGGCUACCACAGGGAUACGGAUUGCUGCCGCGAAAUGGUGGAGACACCAUGAGAGGGUCAACAGAAAAGGUCGAAUCCAAGGCUUUUUUUAAUGCAAUUUCACUGCCCUGCGAAGCUAAAGCUCAAGCGGUAA